rnacentral:misc_RNA from 1 species
GAUAAAAAGACCACAAGAACUAAUAAUAGAAUUAAAGAUCUACUAAUAAUGCUUCCCAUAAUAUAUUAUGAUCAACGACCUCCAGCCCCAUUGAAGUGGGAAUAAAAUAUUAUAUAUUAUAAUCAUACAUUGCAUUUAUCUAUUGUAGGCCUAACAACCGCAAAAACCAAACCUUUCUGCGUUUUUUUUCAAUUUUGACCAAACCUUU